rnacentral:rRNA from 1 species
GAAUCUUUCACAAUGGGGGAAACCCUGAUGGAGCGACGCCGCGUGGGGGAUGAAGGGCUUCGGCUCGUAAACCCCUGCCAUUUGUGAACAAAGUUUGUGGUCUAAUACAUCACAAAUUGAUAGUAGCAGAAGAGGAAGGGACGGCUAACUCUGUGCCAGCAGCCGCGGUAAUACAGAGGUCCCGAGCGUUGUUCGGAUUCACUGGGCGUAAAGGGUGCGUAGGUGGUAAGGCAAGUUUGAUGUGAAAGCUCCGAGCCCAACUCGGAAAUGGCAUUGAAAACUGCCUAACUAGCGGAUUGGAGGGGGGACUGGAAUUCUCGGUGUAGCGGUGAAAUGCGUAGAUAUCGAGAGGAACACCAGUGGCGAAGGCGAGUCCCUGGACAAAUCCUGACACUGAGGCACGAAAGCUAGGGUAGCAAACAGG